AUUGAACGCUGGCGGCAUGCCUUACACAUGCAAGUCGAACGGCAGCGGGGACUUCGGUCCGCCGGCGAGUGGCGAACGGGUGAGUAAUGUAUCGGAACGUACCAUUGCGUGGGGGUUACCGUAGCGAAAGGUACGCUAAUACUGCAUAUUCUCUCCGGAGGAAAGCAGGGGACCGCAAGGCCUUGCGCUCUUGGAGCGGCCGAUGUCAGAUUACCUAGAUGGUGAGGUAAAGGCUCACCAAGGCGACGAUCUGUAGCGGGUCUGAGAGGAUGAGCCGCCACACUGGAACUGAGCAGCGGUCCAGUCUCCUACGGGGGGCAGCAGGGGGGAAUUUUGGACAGUGUGGGCAACCCUGAUCCAGCCAUGCCGCGUGAGGGAAGAAGGCCUUCGGGUUGUAAAGCUCUUUCGGCCGGGAAAAAAUCGCAUGGGCUAAUAUCCUGUGUGGAUGAUGGUACCGGAAUAAGAAGCACCGGCUAACUACGUGCCAGCCGCCGCAGUAAAAC
rnacentral:rRNA from 1 species